CGCUCCUCCAGCCCGGGGCGCUUCGCAGAGCCCCCGCCCGGCCGCGCGGUGCUUGCUCUGGCUCUUUGUUAUGUUAAUUCCCUUCCCAGCUGGUGCCAGCUGCCUGCACAAUGGGCGCCCUGAGCCCCGCCAGCCCUCGCCAGUCCUCACCAGCCCGUGAGUGGGGGCGGGGCGGACCCUGCGCCCCGUGUAGAUGGGGCGGGCGCGUCCUGAUGAGUGAGCGCUGCGGAGCGAGCAGCACCUCCCCCCACUCCGGCAAGACCGCGCCUCCGGGGCCUGCGGGGCGAGCUCUGAUUCUUUCCAGUCGCCCGGGCUGCCUGCCCUCUAGGUGCCAGGGCUAGAUGGAAAGUAAAAGGCUUCUGGGCGGCUCCGGAGCCAUGAGGAUGAAAGAGGACAGCCGCCUCCAGACCACACAGCUAAUCCCGCCAUAAACCUCGAGCAAAUACCGGGAGAGGAGGAGCAGGCCCGCUACAGAUGUGGAGUGCAGCCUCCGGGGAUCCCCAAAUUAAAACCCGGGCAGGAGAGGCACUUGGACCACCACCAAAUGACACUAAUUGGGUUAUGGGACCAUAAUCUUAGCUGUGAGAAGACAGAGCUUGGAGAUGGCCAUCCUGGUUUCCCUGGGCAAGCUGAGUGUCUUCUGCCCGCCACCCUCCAGUGCUGGCUCCAGCCACUCGCAGGAGACACAAGAUCCAGCCUACAACAUUCCCUUACAGAAGAAAGGACUCUUCCAGGAAAACCUGCAGUUGCCUGAGGAGUGUUCUGGCUCCUCGAUGUCUCCCAGCGGACACAAAUUGCAGAAUAAAGACUAUGUCUAAAGGAACCAACCAUUCCAUGUGGUAACAGAAUUAACUUGGACUUUGGCAAACUGUGACAAGUUAGGAAUUAAGAGAUUGUACCUUUUCCCUUGUAAGAGGCCCCUCUUGGCUGUAGUGGCAGAGUGUGGCUCUGCAUCCAGGCUGUCAGGCCCCAAACCCUGCCUUACACUUCUGGCCUCUGCUCUAUUCCAGCCUUACAUGAAAGCCUCUGCCUCUCUGUGCCUGAACUGAGUGGGGAGGUGUCUUGGGGCAACACCUCCGUCUCAGCACUGAGAGGUCUGGGGACAUCUGCAGACUUGGGGAAUGGCAUGAGCAGCUUUCCCAGCUCUGGAAAAAGGAAGGCACAGGACGAAAACCUAGUCCUCUGAUGUCUUUUCCUGUCUCCUGAGAUGUCUUCACAUUUCCUUCUGGGUACAAGGGAGCCUGUUUCUCAACUUCUUGUAGAGAUGUUCGAAUGCUGCCCCAGGUGCACUUUAGAAGAAGCCGUUCACCCCUGGAUAGCAAGGAGACCAGAGAGAGUCCCACAGAACAGCUCAUGCACUUCACUUGGGUCACCUUGGAGGGCACCUGCAGAUGUUCCCACAACCAUCCAAGCAGGGUUCAAUUGACAACUACCACAUGUCUGAAGCCAGGACUCAGCUACUCCCGUGGAAUGGCCUGGAUGGAGCCCAGUCUAGCCUGGGCAAGCACGAGCCAAAGCUGCUUGUGUGGUCCUUCCAACAAAGCGGACACCUGCCUAUGCUCUUCACAACAGACAUCUGUAACAAUUCUUUUCCAUGUGUGUUCUCCCUGGCCCCCAAAGAUAAAAGCAUCUAAUCAGAUUUUUGUUACUUUAAAUCAUGGGAAUAGUUAAAAAAAAAAAAAAGACUGAGAAAUAGGGAAAUUA